GCAAUUGGUACAGGAGAAGGGUCCUGAUCCAGACCCCAAGAGAGGCUUCUCGGAUCCUGUGCAAGAAAGAAUUCAGGUGACUGAGAACGCCUGACCAUCUGGGAAUGCAGCCCACUAGGUCUCAGCCUCAUUGUUCCCAGCUCCUGUUCAAGAUGGUGUCGCUCUGGUUCACACACCUCUGACACAGCCUCUGCCUCCUGCUUCAGCCUCCUAAGCAGCUGGGACUACAGUGCAUACCUAAUUUUCUCGACCUCUUUUAUGAAAUAUCCCCCCCGCCUUCCUCGACCCUGCCACCCCGAGGUUCCCGUGCA